rnacentral:rRNA from 1 species
GACGAACGCUGGCGGCGUGCUUAACACAUGCAAGUCGAACGGAAAGGCCCUGCUUUUGUGGGGUGCUCGAGUGGCGAACGGGUGAGUAACACGUGAGUAACCUGCCCUUGACUUUGGGAUAACUUCAGGAAACUGGGGCUAAUACCGGAUAGGAGCUCCUGCUGCAUGGUGGGGGUUGGAAAGUUUCGGCGGUUGGGGAUGGACUCGCGGCUUACCAGCUGGUUGGUGGGGUAGUGGCUUACCAAGGCUUUGACGGGUAGCCGGCCUGAGAGGGUGACCGGCCACAUUGGGACUGAGAUACGGCCCAGACUCCUACGGGAGGCAGCAGUGGGGGAUAUUGCACAAUGGGCGGAAGCCUGAUGCAGCAACGCCGCGUGCGGGAUGACGGCCUUCGGGUUGUAAACCGCUUUCGCCUGUGACGAAGCGUGAGUGACGGUAAUGGGUAAAGAAGCACCGGCUAACUACGUG